UGAGUCCUAAUUUUGUCCAAUCUGUCAGAACACCGUCGAAUUCCUCGUAGUCACCACACCUUUGUGAUUCCUGAACCUGGAGGGGCGCAAAACCAAAAUUGAGUGGGUCAGUAAAACAAUUCUUUUUCCAAAUCCAAACAUUUCUCAAAACGUUGUAACCCCUCUCCGUAAAACCUGUAUACUUUCCCAGAAAUGUAAAAUAUAAAUAUACAUAUAUAUUCUCAAGACUUCAAGUCGUUAACUCAACAUUUUCAUAACAAUUAUGCCAUGCCACAUCAUCUCAACAGUAAUAAGGUAUGAAUGCAUCAACAUAAUCAUAUCAGGUGCAAGAAAGUAAUCAACCGUAGGCCCUCUAAUAGCCCUGUACGGUUGAACCUAGAGCUCAAAAUCUAUCAUUAUCACUCUACCGGAGUCACCUCUGUGACCCGUCCGGCCUUCUGCACACAAGUUACGCUCUAGUGCUUCUCAUAAAUCAUCUGUGCACAUAAUCUAAGGUCACCCACCAGUCGGAAUCUCACUAACACUCUCGCGACUGGUCUGUCGUACCCACUCCGCGUGGACUGUACGACUAGCAUCUACUUGGAUCCAAGGCGAGCGUGCGAUGUGGUGAAUACUAUAAGCACUAAACCAUGGUGCAGGAUUUGAGCUCAAUAUAUAUCAUCAUCAUCAUAACAGUAAUUAAAUACUCAUCUGUGCGUCCACCGCACCAUUUCAUACAUAUGCAUCAUAAAUCAAUUCUUACCUGUGCGUCCACCGCACCAAUUCAUACAUAUGCAUCAUAAAUCAAUUCUUACCUGUGCGUCCACCGCACCAAUUCAUACAUAUGCAUCAUAAAUCAAUUCUUACAUGUGCGUCCACCGCACCAAUUCAUACAUAUGCAUCAUAUAUUAAUUCAUGCAUGGCAUUUCAACUCACAUUUCUAUAUACUUUUCAUAUCAAUUCUAUGCAUGGUAUUUCACUUCCCGUUUUUCCACAUAACUCAUAUGCAUUUCAUUUUAAACAUAUUUUCAUUUCAAUUCAAUUUCUGGGAAACGUCAAGUAUAUAUAUAUACGGAAAACAAAACUGCCCACUCACCUGGAGUUCGUCCAACAACUCCCUAGCACCACACAUCAAGGCGUCAUGACGAUCGCCGCCUAGAAUAGUAAUAGUAAUCAAAUCCAGGCUCAGAAUUCAUAUCGAUAGAAUACAUAACUUAUAUAAAAUACGUCACUACGUUGAUCGAUCCGGAAGAUCUGCCACUCAGAUUUUAAAUCCAUAACUUCCAGAGGUCCACAUUAUACCUCUAGGACAACAUCCUAAAAUUUCAUUACCAUCCAACGGUCGGAUCUCCGUCAAUUUCCAAAACUAAGUGACGGUUAACAUUUUAUAUUAUGGACUUACAAUUCCAAUUCCGGAAGAUCCGUAACUCGGAUUCCCAAUCCGUAAGUUCCAAUAAUCCUCAAAUAUUACGUAUUACAACGUAUCAAAUUUUGGUGACGAUCCAACGGUCGGAUCAUCAAUUCACAUUUUCACCUAAAUGUGAAAACUAUAAAACGUUAUUUGAACACCUAACCAACAAUCCUCAAUAACUUUCUCAUACGGUGUUCAAUUUAGGUAUAUGAAUAUACCACAGUGAUCUACUCGACGUCACGGACGUCGACAUAUUUUUAAAAUAAUUUUAUUUUUAUUUUUUAUUUUUACUGUAGCACCUUCUUCUUCCUUGGGUCGCCGGACUGGUUUUUCCGGCGGCCGUUUUCCGGGCAGUUUUUCAAAUUGCCAUAACUUUGUCAUUUCUCAACGAAAUCAAGUGAUUCAAAAACGAAAGUUGUAGCCCUUGAAGAGAAAAAGAGAAUGGUACCUUGCACAACACCUAGUUCGCCGUGGUUUGGCCGGAAACUUCCUCGAAAGCCUCGGAGGUCGCCGGAAACUGGGUAUUUUUCAAAUGAGUAUAACUUCUUCAAUACUCAACGAAAUUGAGUGAAACAAAAAGGAAAGUUGUAGUACUUGACGAGACGAAGAGAUUGAUACCUACCUCGACUCCUAACUCGCCGGGUAUUCGCCGGAAAACGCCUCGAAAGCUCCGGCCAAACUUUGAACUUGUCGAUCUCCGUGUUCUUACGUCCAAAAACUUCCAACGAAGCACUCCGAGCUUCCUUGGGACCUUACUAAACUCGCUGUGAUCUUGUUUUAGCCUAAAACGUAACCAAUUCAAAGCUCAUGAACAGUGUCAUCUCACGGCAACUUUAGAACUAGGGUUUUCGAAGUGAAACUCACCUGAAAUUGGUAUCCCCGUGCUCGUGAAGUCCCCAGGAUCACGAUGGUGGUCUUAAAUGGAACGUUGGUACAAGAUUGUGGUGGUUCUUGGUGGUUGCCGUGAGUUCGAGAGUAAGAGAGAGAAUGAGAGAGUUUCAGAAAAGAAUAAGAGAGA
rnacentral:lncRNA from 1 species